rnacentral:rRNA from 1 species
GUGACGAGCGGCGGACGGGUGAGUAAUGUCUGUGAACUGCCUGAUGGAGGGGGAUAACUACUGAAACGGUAGCUAAUACCGCAUAACGUCACAAGACAAAGAGGGGGACCUUCGGGCCUCUUGCCAUCAGAUGUGCCCAGAUUGGAUUAGCUAGUAGUGGGGUAACGGCUCACCUAGCGACGAUCCCUAGCUGGUCUGAGAGGAUGGUCGGCCACACUGGGACUGAGAUACGGCCCAGACUCCUACGGGAGGCAGCAGUCGAGAGGCUUCGGCAAUGGGGGAAACCCUGACCGACGACGCCGCGUGGAGGAUGAAGGGCCCUUGGGUUGUAAACUCCUUUAUUCGGGAAGAAGUGCGAUCAGGUGAACAAUCUGGUCGUUUGACAGUACCGGAUGAAUAAGCUCCGGCUAACUCCGUGCCAGCAGCCGCGGUAAUACGGGGGGAGCAAGCGUUGUUCGGAAUCACUGGGCCGUAAAGGGGCGUUAGGCGGUCACGUAAGUUGGGAUGUGAAAUGCCCCGGGCUCACCCCGGGGGAACCUUGUCCCAAAAUUGUUGGGUUGGAANUUAUUGGGAGAGGGAAUUAAGGGGAAUUCCCUUGGG